AUAGAAGCAAUAAUGGAAACAAGUAAAUCAGAUAAGGCUUGUCAGGGAGACUCUUCAUGACUGAAAGAGAGUUAAGCUGAGUUGAUUGAAAUUCACUUCCGUAGCUCCUUAGUCAAAAACUAAGGCGGUGAUACCACCGUUAAAAAAGUAAAGGAUAAUUACUAACGGUAGUUAUUAAAAUAGGAUGGUACCACGACACCUCGUUCCUGAU
rnacentral:ncRNA from 1 species